UACGUAGGUGGCAAGCGUUGUCCGGAAUUACUGGGCGUAAAGGGUGCGCAGGCGGUAACUUAAGUCGGAUGUGAAAACUAGAGGCUAAACCACUAGAUUGCAUUUGAAACUGGGUUGCUUGAGUGCAGGAGAGGGCAGUGGAAUUCCUAGUGUAGCGGUGAAAUGCGUAGAUAUUAGGAGGAACACCAGUGGCGAAGGCGGCUGCCUGGACUGUAACUGACGCUGAGGCACGAAAGCGUGGGGAGCGAACAGG
rnacentral:rRNA from 1 species